rnacentral:rRNA from 1 species
GAUGAACGCUGGCGGCGUGCUUAACACAUGCAAGUCGAACGAAGCACUUAUCUUUGAUUCUUCGGAUGAAGAGGUUUGUGACUGAGUGGCGGACGGGUGAGUAACGCGUGGGUAACCUGCCUCAUACAGGGGGAUAACAGUUAGAAAUGACUGCUAAUACCGCAUAAGACCACGGAGCCGCAUGGCUCAGUGGGAAAAACUCCGGUGGUAUGAGAUGGACCCGCGUCUGAUUAGGUAGUUGGUGGGGUAACGGCCUACCAAGCCAACGAUCAGUAGCCGACCUGAGAGGGUGACAGGCCACAUUGGGACUGAGACACGGCCCAAACUCCUACGGGAGGCAGCAGUGGGGAAUAUUGCACAAUGGGGGAAACCCUGAUGCAGCGACGCCGCGUGAGCGAAGAAGUAUUUCGGUAUGUAAAGCUCUAUCAGCAGGGAAGAAAAUGACGGUACCUGACUAAGAAGCACCGGCUAAAUACGUG